rnacentral:rRNA from 1 species
UACGGGGGGGGCAAGCGUUGUUCGGAAUUACUGGGCGUAAAGGGCGCGUAGGCGGUGCUCUAAGUCGGAUGUGAAAACUCUGGGCUCAACCCAGAGCCUGCAUCCGAAACUGGAGUGCUAGAGUUCUGGAGGGGGUAGCGGAAUUCCUGGUGUAGCGGUGAAAUGCGUAGAUAUCAGGAGGAACACCGGUGGCGAAGGCGGGUCUCUGGGCCGAUACUGACGCUGAGGAGCGAAAGCGUGGGGAGCGAACAGG